AUUGAACGCUGGCGGCAUGCCUUACACAUGCAAGUCGAACGGCAGCGCGGGCUUCGGCCUGGCGUAGAGUGGCGAACGGGUGAGUAAUGCAUCGGAACGUGCCCAGUUGUGGGGGAUAGCGCGGCGAAGGCGGGAUUAAUACCGCAUACGACCUGAGGGUGUAAGCGGGGGACCGAAAGGCCUUGCGCUAUUGGAGGGGCCGAUGUCGGAUUAGCUAGUUGGUGGGGUAAAGGCUUACCAAGGCGACGAUCCGUAGCUGGUCUGAGAGGACGAGCAGCCACACUGGGACUGAGACACGGUCCAGACUCCUACGGGAGGCAGCAGUGGGGAAUAUUGGACAAUGGGCGCAAGCCUGAUCCAGCCAUGCCGCGUGCGGGAAGAAGGCCUUCGGGUUGUAAAGCGCUUUUGUUCGGGAAGAAAACCUGUGGGCUAAUACCCCGCGGUGAUGACGGUACCGGAAGAAUAAGCACCGGCUAACUACGUG
rnacentral:rRNA from 1 species